rnacentral:rRNA from 1 species
AACGAACGCUGGCGGCAUGCCUAACACAUGCAAGUCGAACGAGACCUUCGGGUCUAGUGGCGCACGGGUGCGUAACGCGUGGGAACCUGCCCUUAGGUCCGGAAUAACUCCCCGAAAGGGGUGCUAAUACCGGAUAAUGUCUUCGGACCAAAGAUUUAUCGCCUUUGGAUGGGCCCGCGUUGGAUUAGCUAGUUGGUAGGGUAAAAGCCUACCAAGGCGACGAUCCAUAGCUGGUCUGAGAGGAUGAUCAGCCACACUGGGACUGAGACACGGCCCAGACUCCUACGGGAGGCAGCAGUGGGGAAUAUUGGACAAUGGGCGAAAGCCUGAUCCAGCAAUGCCGCGUGAGUGAUGAAGGCCUUAGGGUUGUAAAGCCCUUUUACCCGGGAUGAUAAUGACAGUACCGGGAGAAUAAGCUCCGGCUAACUCCGUG